rnacentral:piRNA from 1 species
UCUCAAAGAAAGGGCUGUAACCAC